rnacentral:misc_RNA from 1 species
AAAUCAAAUUGUGUUGAUCUUAGUUCCAAGUUUCAGAUGGUUUCUUCUAGGCUUAGGACCUCCACAUUUAAAUGGUACUUGGAACUCAUAUCAAGAUCUUUUCCAUUUGCUACUCCAAGCAUUUGAUGAGUUGAAGAGGCUUUCAAGAAAUUUAUUUCAAGCACUAAGGAGGAUGCCAAUUGGAGGAUACGUGAUGAAAUAUUAUCUAUCCUUAAAAUAUUGGCUUCUCUCGGAAAACAGCUAUCUUGGGAAAUGAAGAUGUUGGUGGUCGCUCUAAUCAACUAUGCAAUAGCAGUGGCAAUUGAACAUGAACUCCAAA